rnacentral:rRNA from 1 species
ACACUCCUGCGGGAGGCAGCAGUGGGGAAUAUUGCACAAUGGGCGCAAGCCUGAUGCAGCCAUGCCGCGUGUAUGAAGAAGGCCUUCGGGUUGUAAAGUACUUUCAGCGGGGAGGAAGGCGAUAAGGUUAAUAACCUUGUCGAUUGACGUUACCCGCAGAAGAAGCACCGGCUAACUCCGUGCCAGCAGCCGCGGUAAUACGGAGGGUGCAAGCGUUAAUCGGAAUUACUGGGCGUAAAGCGCACGCAGGCGGUCUGUCAAGUCGGAUGUGAAAUCCCCGGGCUCAACCUGGGAACUGCAUACGAAACUGGCAGGCUAGAGUCUUGUAGAGGGGGGUAGAAUUCCAGGUGUAGCGGUGAAAUGCGUAGAGAUCUGGAGGAAUACCGGUGGCGAAGGCGGCCCCCUGGACAAAGACUGACGCUCAGGUGCGAAAGCGUGGGGAGCAAACAGGAUUAGAAACCCUGGUAGUCCC